UGAUACCAUAGCUCAUUCCGUAGAGCAUGAGACUCUUAGUCCCAGGGUCGUGGGUUUGAGCCCCACUGGGUGAA